rnacentral:rRNA from 1 species
UACAUGAAGCUGGAGUUACUAGUAAUCGCGAAUCAGAAUGUCGCGGUGAAUACGUUCCCGGGUCUUGUACACACCGCCCGUCACACCAUGAGAGUUGGCAAUACCCGAAGUCCGUGAGCUAACCGCAAGGAGGCAGCGGCCGAAGGUAGGGUCAGCGAUUGGGGUGAAGUCGUAACAAGGUAGCCGUAGGAGAACCUGCGGCUGGAUCACCUCCUUU